rnacentral:rRNA from 1 species
CCAUCAGUUCGGCUGGGCGACUCUAUGGAGACUAGCCGACCUAAAGUGGAGGAAGGUGGGGAUGACGUCAAGUCAGCCAUGGCCCUUACUCCGGGGCUACACACGUGCUACAAUGGCCGGUACAAAGGGUUGCGAAGCCGUGAGGUGGAGCGAAUCUCAAAAAGCCGGCCUCAGUUCGGAUUGGAGGCUGCAACUCGCCUCCAUGAAGUCGGAGUCGCUAGUAAUCGCAGAUCAGCAACGCUGCGGUGAAUACGUUCCCGGGCCUU